rnacentral:misc_RNA from 1 species
AAAAAAGACAGCACAACAUCCAUCUAAGAAGCAAAUGGAAUUUUUUUAAGCAAUAUGAAGUUUGUGUAAAUCCAAAUAUGAAUCAUUUUACAUUAUACACUUAAAUCCUUGCUUUUACCAUAUUAUGGAAUGCUAAAUGAAUUUUUAACCUUUUGAAAAAGCCAAUAGGAAGAUUAAAAGAGCGCAAUUAAAACAAUUGUUUAAAACUUAAGCAAGCCUUUACAAUUGAGGAUUAGUAAUGCUAAUCUGUCAAAGAAAACCAAGUAAAAUAUACUUACUAUUCUUACAUUCCCAGGAAUUCGAAAUGUGAAACUAAGUUUACUCCACAUAACCUAUUAGCAGAAGGUUUGGAUUUGGACAUUGAAAUAGAA